rnacentral:misc_RNA from 1 species
GGGAAUUUUCGUGUGAUGCCCAACAAAAUUUAGAUGUGAAGCCUAAACUCCAUUAUUUUACCAUUCAGUGUUCUUGUGUUACUGUUAACUGUGCCUAAUUUGCACUGCAGGCAUCCCCAAAUCUUCUCUUUCUUGUUUAAUUUCACCUGCUCAAUCCCACCAUUCAAGAAAUCCUAAUUGUGCAUCUAAAUUUCCACUCAUUCUAGCUUUCAAAUAACCAAAAAUCCAUCCUCAACAUUCAGUCCUACAAGCUGCCGUACAUCAAGCAACCAUGAAAGUGAAGCCGAGAAUGCAUGAAAUGCAUAAUUACAGUGAAUUAAAAGCAAAAGAGUGGAGAAAAAAU